UGUAUGGUUAAGUGACUAAGCGUACACGGUGGAUGCCUGGGCAGUCAGAGGCGAUGAAGGACGUACUAACUUGCGAUAAGCGCAGAUAAGGCAGUAAGAGCCGUUUGAGUCUGCGAUUUCCGAAUGGGGAAACCCAACUGCAUAAGCAGUUACUGUUAACUGAAUACAUAGGUUAACAGAGCAAACCGGGGGAACUGAAACAUCUAAGUACCCCGAGGAGAAGAAAUCAACCGAGAUUCCGGUAGUAGCGGCGAGCGAACCUGGAUUAGCCCUUAAGCACUCGGUGAAGUAGGUGAACAAGCUGGAAAGCUUGGCGAUACAGGGUGAUAGCCCCGUAACCGACGCUUCAUCGAGCGUGAAAUCGAGUAGGGCGGGACACGUGAUAUCCUGUCUGAAUAUGGGG
rnacentral:rRNA from 1 species